rnacentral:rRNA from 1 species
UCUGAAUGGGGGAACCCAGCCAUCAUAAGAUGGUUAUCUUGUACUGAAUACAUAGGUGCAAGAGGCGAACCAGGGGAACUGAAACAUCUAAGUACCCUGAGGAAAAGAAAUCAACCGAGAUUCCCUUAGUAGUGGCGAGCGAACGGGGACUAGCCCUUAAGUGGCUUUGAGAUUAGCGGAACGCUCUGGAAAGUGCGGCCAUAGUGGGUGAUAGCCCUGUACGCGAAAAUCUCUUAGUCAUGAAAUCGAGUAGGACGGGGCACGAGAAACCUUGUCUGAAUAUGGGGGGACCAUCCUCCAAGGCUAAAUACUACUGACUGACCGAUAGUGAACUAGUACCGUGAGGGAAAGGCGAAAAGAACCCCGGAGAGGGGAGUGAAAUAGAUCCUGAAACCGUAUGCGUACAAGCAGUGGGAGCAGACUUUGUUCUGUGACUGCGUACCUUUUGUAUAAUGGGUCAGCGACUUAUUUUCAGUGGCAAGCUUAACCGAAUAGGGGAGGCGUAGCGAAAGCGAGUCUUAAUAGGGCGUCUAGUCGCUGGGAAUAGACCCGAAACCGGGCGAUCUAUCCAUGGGCAGGUUGAAGGUUAGGUAACACUGACUGGAGGACCGAACCGACUACCGUUGAAAAGUUAGCGGAUGACCUGUGGAUCGGAGUGAAAGGCUAAUCAAGCUCGGAGAUAGCUGGUUCUCCUCGAAAGCUAUUUAGGUAGCGCCUCAUGUAUCACUGUAGGGGGUAGAGCACUGUUUCGGCUAGGGGGUCAUCCCGACUUACCAAACCGAUGCAAACUCCGAAUACCUACAAGUGCCGAGCAUGGGAGACACACGGCGGGUGCUAACGUCCGUCGUGAAAAGGGAAACAACCCAGACCGUCAGCUAAGGUCCCAAAGUUAUGGUUAAGUGGGAAACGAUGUGGGAAGGCUUAGACAGCUAGGAGGUUGGCUUAGAAGCAGCCACCCUUUAAAGAAAGCGUAAUAGCUCACUAGUCGAGUCGGCCUGCGCGGAAGAUGUAACGGGGCUCAAACCAUACACCGAAGCUACGGGUAUCACGUAAGUGAUGCGGUAGAGGAGCGUUCUGUAAGCCUGUGAAGGUGAGUUGAGAAGCUUGCUGGAGGUAUCAGAAGUGCGAAUGCUGACAUGAGUAACGACAAUGGGUGUGAAAAACACCCACGCCGAAAGACCAAGGUUUCCUGCGCAACGUUAAUCGACGCAGGGUUAGUCGGUCCCUAAGGCGAGGCUGAAAAGCGUAGUCGAUGGAAAACAGGUUAAUAUUCCUGUACUUCUAGUUAUUGCGAUGGAGGGACGGAGAAGGCUAGGCCAGCUUGGCGUUGGUUGUCCAAGUUUAAGGUGGUAGGCUGGAAUCUUAGGUAAAUCCGGGGUUCUAAGGCCGAGAGCUGAUGACGAGUUACCUUUUAGGUGACGAAGUGGUUGAUGCCAUGCUUCCAAGAAAAGCUUCUAAGCUUCAGAUAACUAGGAACCGUACCCCAAACCGACACAGGUGGUUGGGUAGAGAAUACCAAGGCGCUUGAGAGAACUCGGGUGAAGGAACUAGGCAAAAUGGCACCGUAACUUCGGGAGAAGGUGCGCCGGUGAGGGUGAAGGACUUGCUCCGUAAGCUCAUGCCGGUCGAAGAUACCAGGCCGCUGCGACUGUUUAUUAAAAACACAGCACUCUGCAAACACGAAAGUGGACGUAUAGGGUGUGACGCCUGCCCGGUGCCGGAAGGUUAAUUGAUGGGGUUAGCUAACGCGAAGCUCUUGAUCGAAGCCCCGGUAAACGGCGGCCGUAACUAUAACGGUCCUAAGGUAGCGAAAUUCCUUGUCGGGUAAGUUCCGACCUGCACGAAUGGCGUAACGAUGGCGGCGCUGUCUCCACCCGAGACUCAGUGAAAUUGAAAUCGCUGUGAAGAUGCAGUGUAUCCGCGGCUAGACGGAAAGACCCCGUGAACCUUUACUAUAGCUUUGCACUGGACUUUGAAUUUGCUUGUGUAGGAUAGGUGGGAGGCUUUGAAGCGUG